rnacentral:rRNA from 1 species
CACUCCUGCGGGAGGCAGCAGUGGGGAAUUUUGGACAAUGGGCGAAAGCCUGAUCCAGCCAUGCCGCGUGCAGGAUGAAGGCCUUCGGGUUGUAAACUGCUUUUGUACGGAACGAAACGGCCUUUUCUAAUAAAGAGGGCUAAUGACGGUACCGUAAGAAUAAGCACCGGCUAACUACGUGCCAGCAGCCGCGGUAAUACGUAGGGUGCAAGCGUUAAUCGGAAUUACUGGGCGUAAAGCGUGCGCAGGCGGUUAUGUAAGACAGUUGUGAAAUCCCCGGGCUCAACCUGGGAACUGCAUCUGUGACUGCAUAGCUAGAGUACGGUAGAGGGGGAUGGAAUUCCGCGUGUAGCAGUGAAAUGCGUAGAUAUGCGGAGGAACACCGAUGGCGAAGGCAAUCCCCUGGACCUGUACUGACGCUCAUGCACGAAAGCGUGGGGAGCAAACAGGAUUAGAUACCCCUGUAGUCCCAUGA